AGUUUGAUCCUGGCUCAGGAUGAACGCUGGCGGCGUGCUUAACACAUGCAAGUCGAACGGGGAUGCCAUUUUUGAAGCGAUUAGCUUGCUAAGAGUGGAAAUGUUGGCAUCUUAGUGGCGGACGGGUGAGUAACGCGUGGGGAACCUGCCCUGUACAGGGGGAUAACACUUAGAAAUAGGUGCUAAUACCGCAUAAGCGCACAGUAUCGCAUGAUACAGUGUGAAAAACUCCGGUGGUACAGGAUGGACCCGCGUCUGAUUAGCUGGUUGGCGGGGUAACGGCCCACCAAGGCGACGAUCAGUAGCCGGCCUGAGAGGGUGAACGGCCACAUUGGGACUGAGACACGGCCCAAACUCCUACGGGAGGCAGCAGGUGGGGAAUAUUGGACAAUGGGGGGAACCCUGAUCCAGCGACGCCGCGUGAGUGAAGAAGUAUUUCGGUAUGUAAAGCUCUAUCAGCAGGGAAGAAAAUGACGGUACCUGACUAAGAAGCCCCGGCUAACUACGUG
rnacentral:rRNA from 1 species